rnacentral:rRNA from 1 species
GACGAACGCUGGCGGCGUGCUUAACACAUGCAAGUCGAACGGAAAGGCCCUGCUUUUGUGGGGUGCUCGAGUGGCGAACGGGUGAGUAACACGUGAGUAACCUGCCCUUGACUUUGGGAUAACUUCAGGAAACUGGGGCUAAUACCGGAUAGCAGCUCCUGCUGCAUGGUGGGGGGUGGAAAGUUUCGGCGGUUGGGGAUGGACUCGCGGCUUAUCAGCUUGUUGGUGGGGUAGUGGCUUACCAAGGAUUUGACGGGUAGCCGGCCUGAGAGGGUGACCGGCCACAUUGGGACUGAGAUACGGCGCAGACUCCUACGGGAGGCAGCAGUGGCGAAUAUUGCACAAUGGGAGGGAGCCUGAUGCAGCAACGCCGCGUGCGGGAUGACGGCCUUCGGGUUGUAAACCGCUUUCGCCUGUGACGAAGCGUGAGUGACGGUAAUGAGUAAAGAAGCACCGGCUAACUACGUG